rnacentral:rRNA from 1 species
GACAGAGGAGCCAAGCGUUGUCCGGAUUGACUGGGCGUAAAGCGCACGCAGGCGGAACGGCGCGUGGGGUGUGAAAGCUGGCGGCUUAACUGCCAGUCGCCAUCCCAUACGGCCAUUCUGGAGCCUUGCAGAGGGCAGUGGAAUUGCCGGUGUAGUGGUGAAAUGCGUAGAGAUCGGCAGGAACACCCAAGGGGAAACCAGCUGCCUGGGCAAGCGCUGACGCUGAGGUGCGAAAGCGUGGGGAGCAAACAGG